AACGAACGCUGGCGGCAUGCCUAACACAUGCAAGUCGAACGAGACCUUCGGGUAUAGUGGCGCACGGGUGCGUAACGCGUGGGAACCUGCCCUUAGGUUCGGAAUAACUCCCCGAAAGGGGUGCUAAUACCGGAUAAUGUCUUCGGACCAAAGAUUUAUCGCCUUUGGAUGGGCCCGCGUUGGAUUAGCUAGUUGGUAGGGUAAAAGCCUACCAAGGCGACGAUCCAUAGCUGGUCUGAGAGGAUGAUCAGCCACACGGGGACUGAGACACGGCCCAGACUCCUCCGGGAGGCAGCAGUGGGGAAUAUUGGACAAUGGGCGAAAGCCUGAUCCAGCAAUGCCGGGGGAGUUAUGAAGGCCUUAGGGUUGUAAAGCUCUUUUACCCGGGAUGAUAAUGACAGUACCGGGAGAAUAAGCCCCGGCUAACUCCGU
rnacentral:rRNA from 1 species